CGUUAACGCUGGCGGUAGGCCUAACACAUGCAAGUCGAACGGCAGCACAGUAAGAGCUUGCUCUUACGGGUGGCGAGUGGCGGACGGGUGAGGAAUACAUCGGAAUCUACUUUUUCGUGGGGGAUAACGUAGGGAAACUUACGCUAAUACCGCAUACGACCUACGGGUGAAAGCAGGGGAUCUUCGGACCUUGCGCGAUUGAAUGAGCCGAUGUCGGAUUAGCUAGUUGGCGGGGUAAAGGCCCACCAAGGCGACGAUCCGUAGCUGGUUUGAGAGGAUGAUCAGCCACACUGGAACUGAGACACGGUCCAGACUCCUACGGGAGGCAGCAGUGGGGAAUAUUGGACAAUGGGCGCAAGCCUGAUCCAGCCAUACCGCGUGGGUGAAGAAGGCCUUCGGGUUGUAAAGCCCUUUUGUUGGGAAAGAAAAGCAGCAGGUUAAUACCCCGCUGUUCUGACGGUACCCAAAGAAUAAGCACCGGCUAACUUCGUG
rnacentral:rRNA from 1 species